rnacentral:tRNA from 1 species
GGAUAUAGCUCAGUUGGUAGAGUGCUUGCUUUGCAUGCACAAGGCCCUGGGUUCAAUCUCAGCACCA